rnacentral:rRNA from 1 species
UACGUAGGGGGCAAGCGUUGUUCGGAAUUACUGGGCGUAAAGCGCGUGUAGGCUGUCUCGAAAGUCGGAUGUGAAAGCCCUGGGCUCAACCUAGGAAGUGCAUUCGAAACUUCGAGACUCGAGUCCUGGAGAGGAUCGCGGAAUUCUCGGUGUAGAGGUGAAAUUCGUAGAUAUCGAGAGGAACACCGGUGGCGAAGGCGGCGAUCUGGACAGUGACUGACGCUGAGACGCGAAAGCGUGGGGAGCAAACAGG